rnacentral:rRNA from 1 species
GUAGGUGGCAAGCGUUGUCCGGAAUUAUUGGGCGUUAAAAGCGCGCGCAGGCGGGUUCUUUAAGUCUGAUGUGAAAAGCCCACGGGCCCAACCGUGGAGGUCAUUGGAAACUGGAGAACUUGAGUACAGAAGAGGAAAGCGGAAUUCCACGUGUAGCGGUGAAAUGCGUAGAGAUGUGGAGGAACACCAGUGGCGAAGGCGGCUUUCUGGUCUGUAACUGACGCUGAGGCGCGAAAGCGUGGGGAGCAAACAGGAUUAGAUACCCUGGUAGUCCACGCCGUAAACGAUGAGUGCUAAGUGUUAGGGGGUUUCCGCCCCUUAGUGCUGCAGCUAACGCAUUAAGCACUCCGCCUGGGGAGUACGGCCGCAAGGCUG